rnacentral:rRNA from 1 species
UAGGGAAUCUUCGGCAAUGGGGGGAACCCUGACCGAGCAACGCCGCGUGAGUGAAGAAGGUUUUCGGAUCGUAAAGCUCUGUUGUUAAGGAAGAACGAGUGUGAGAAUGGAAAGUUCAUACUGUGACGGUACUUAACCAGAAAGGGACGGCUAACUACGUGCCAGCAGCCACGGUAAUACGUAGGUGGCAAGCGUUGUCCGGAUUUAUUGGGCGUAAAGCGAGCGCAGGCGGUCAAUUAAGUCUGAUGUGAAAGCCCCCGGCUCAACCGGGGAGGGUCAUUGGAAACUGGUUGACUUGAGUGCAGAAGAGGAGAGUGGAAUUCCAUGUGUAGCGGUGAAAUGCGUAGAUAUAUGGAGGAACACCAGUGGCGAAGGCGACUCUCUGGUCUGUAACUGACGCUGAGGCUCGAAAGCGUGGGUAGCAAACAGG